rnacentral:rRNA from 1 species
UCGCCUGUUUAACAAAAACAUAGUAAAAUAAAAUUUUAUAUAUCUGCCCAAUGAUAAUAUUUGUAUGGCCUUUAAUGUAGCGUAAUAAUUAGUUUAUUAAUUGUAAACCCGCAUGAAGACAGCAUUAAAAAAUUAUAUUUAUUUGUGUUCCCCCAACUUUAGCUAUGAGUGAAAACUCUCAUAUGCCCUCUGUAGACGAUAAGACCCUAAAACCUUUAUCACAUUUAGCUGGGAUAGCUUUUUUAAUUUAAUAAAUACCUCACAAUUUUUUAAAACCAGAAAUUCUGCUUACAAAAAAAGGUACUUUAGGGAUAACAGCGCGAAACUUUUUUAAAGCUCACAUUAAAAAACAGUUAGUGACCUCGAUGUUGAAUUAAGCAAUAUAAGGCUGUAGCAGGUCUUAUUUAUGAGUCUGUUCGACUCUUUGUGCUUACAUGAUUUGAGUUAAGAUCGACGUAAGCCAGGUUGGUUUCUAUC